rnacentral:rRNA from 1 species
CGAAAGCCUGACGGAGCAACGCCGCGUGAGGGAUGAAGGCCUCUGGGCUGUAAACCUCUUUUCUCAAGGAAGAAGAUCUGACGGUACUUGAGGAAUAAGCCACGGCUAAUUCCGUGCCAGCAGCCGCGGUAAUACGGGAGUGGCAAGCGUUAUCCGGAAUUAUUGGGCGUAAAGCGUCCGCAGGCGGUUCUGUAAGUCUGCCGUUAAAGCGUGGAGCUUAACUCCAUUUCGGCGGUGGAAACUGCAGGACUUGAGUGUGGUAGGGGCAGAGGGAAUUCCCGGUGUAGCGGUGAAAUGCGUAGAUAUCGGGAAGAACACCAGUGGCGAAAGCGCUCUGCUGGGCCAUAACUGACGCUCAUGGACGAAAGCCAGGGGAGCG